rnacentral:sRNA from 1 species
AUUGAUCCGCUGGUGCGUGAAGGCACCCCUGGCUUAUAAAAGGAAAAAGAAGCCCCCCUUAUCCAAUGGCCAUGUCAGCAACAAGGUCACAAAGGACCCGGGCGUGGGGAUGGACAGAGACUCCCACCUCUUGUACUCAAAACUCCACCUCAGCGUCCUGCAGGUGCUCAUGACACUGCAGCUGCACCUGACCGAGAAGAAUCUGUAUGGGCGCCUGGGGCUGAUCCUCUUCGACCACAUGGUCCCGCUGGUAGAGGAGAUCAACAGGUUGGCGGAUGAACUGAACCCCCUCAACGCCUCCCAGGAGAUUGAGCUCUCGCUGGACCGGCUGGCACAGGCUCUGCAGGUGGCCAUGGCCUCAGGAGCUCUGCUGUGCACGAGAGAUGACCUGAGAACCUUGUGCUCCAGGCUGCCCCAUAAUAAGUAAGUAUCCUCAGGACUCCUAGCUGGGCCAGCUUGCUGGAGCAGGGUGGAGGGAGGCAAGACAGGGCGAACCCCUUUGUCCUGGGUUCUUUGGGGAGAGCCCGGUAAGGACAUGAUGA